rnacentral:rRNA from 1 species
UACGUAGGGUGCAAGCGUUGUCCGGAAUUAUUGGGCGUAAAGAGCUCGUAGGCGGUUUGUUGCGUCGGCUGUGAAAUCCCGAGGCUCAACCUCGGGUCUGCAGUCGAUACGAGCAAACUAGAGUGUUGCAGGGGAGACUGGAAUUCCUGGUGUAGCGGUGAAAUGCGCAGAUAUCGGGAGGAACACCGGUGGCGAAGGCGGCGAUCUGGGUCGAUACUGACGCUGAGACACGAAAGCGUGGGGAGCAAACAGG